GAUGAACGCUGGCGGCAUGCCUAACACAUGCAAGUCGAUCGGUAAGGCUCUUCGGAGUACACGAGAGGCGGACGGCUGAGUAAUGCGUAGGAACACACCCUGCAGUGAGGGAUAAGACACCGAAAGGUGUUCUAAUACCGCAUACGGUCUUCGGAUUAAAGCAUUUAUGCGCUGAAGGAGUGGCCUGCGUCAUAUUAGAUAGUUGGUGAGGUAAUGGCUCACCAAGUCGAUGAUGUGUAGCUGGUCUGAGAGGAUGAUCAGCCAGACUGGAACUGAGACACGGUCCAGACUCCUACGGGAGGCAGCAGUGAGGAAUAUUUCACAAUGAGCGAAAGCUUGAUGGAGCAAUGCCGCGUGCAGGAUGAAGGCCCUCGGGUUGUAAACUGCUUUUAUAAGAGAAGAUUAUGACGGUAACUUAUGAAUAAGGGACGGCUAACUACGU
rnacentral:rRNA from 1 species